rnacentral:rRNA from 1 species
ACGAUGUCGACUUGGAGGUUGUGCCCUUGAGGCGUGGCUUCCGGAGCUAACGCGUUAAGUCGACCGCCUGGGGAGUACGGCCGCAAGGUUAAAACUCAAAUGAAUUGACGGGGGCCCGCACAAGCGGUGGAGCAUGUGGUUUAAUUCGAUGCAACGCGAAGAACCUUACCUGGUCUUGACAUCCACGGAAGUUUUCAGAGAUGAGAAUGUGCCUUCGGGAACCGUGAGACAGGUGCUGCAUGGCUGUCGUCAGCUCGUGUUGUGAAAUGUUGGGUUAAGUCCCGCAACGAGCGCAACCCUUAUCCUUUGUUGCCAGCGGUCCGGCCGGGAACUCAAAGGAGACUGCCAGUGAUAAACUGGAGGAAGGUGGGGAUGACGUCAAGUCAUCAUGGCCCUUACGACCAGGGCUACACACGUGCUACAAUGGCGCAUACAAAGAGAAGCGACCUCGCGAGAGCAAGCGGACCUCAUAAAGUGCGUCGUAGUCCGGAUUGGAGUCUGCAACUCGACUCCAUGAAGUCGGAAUCGCUAGUAAUCGUGGAUCAGAAUGCCACGGUGAAUACGUUCCCGGGCCUUGUACACACCGCCCGUCACACCAUGGGAGUGGGUUGCAAAAGAAGUAGGUAGCUUAACCUUCGGGAGGGCGCUUACCACUUUGUGAUUCAUGACUGGGGUGAAGUCGUAACAAGGUAACCGUAGGGGAACCUGCGGUUGGAUCAC